AACGGUUCGACCGCAGGAACACUGUUUACGGACACCGACCGAUGACCAACGGGAGGCAGGAUGGCCACAACUCGGCUUUGUUAGAAGCGACGGCUGAAUCCAGUUCCAUAAGCGAGGGGGGUUUGAACACCAGCUUCAACUUCUGUAUCAACGUCCAGCACCACACAGCAACGUGUCAUCACAGGCAAGAGAAAAGGGAGCCUGUUCCAGCAAGCGAAUCUCAACAUCUUGAGUGAUGUUGAGGCUG